rnacentral:rRNA from 1 species
AACGAACGCUGGCGGCAUGCCUAACACAUGCAAGUCGAACGAGACCUUCGGGUCUAGUGGCGCACGGGUGCGUAACGCGUGGGAACCUGCCCUUAGGUUCGGAAUAACUCCCCGAAAGGGGUGCUAAUACCGGAUAAUGUCUUCGGACCAAAGAUUUAUCGCCUUUGGAUGGGCCCGCGUUGGAUUAGCUAGUUGGUAGGGUAAAAGCCUACCAAGGCGACGAUCCAUAGCUGGUCUGAGAGGAUGAUCAGCCACACUGGGACUGAGACACGGCCCAGACUCCUACGGGAGGCAGCAGUGGGGAGUAUUGGACAAUGGGCGAAAGCCUGAUCCAGCAAUGCCGCGUGAGUGAUGAAGGCCUUAGGGUUGUAAAGCUCUUUUACCCGGGAUGAUAAUGACAGUACCGGGAGAAUAAGCUCCGGCUAACUCCGU